rnacentral:tmRNA from 1 species
GUAGUUGAUAAUUUUGAGAAUUUAUACCAUAAUGAUGUGGUCUUUUUGACUAUGGUAAUAAACGCGCAUGUAAUAAACGGAUCGGACCCGGGGGCGGUACCCGGCGGCUCCACCAAAAAAUUUUAGGGGGCCGAAAUAGGAUCGACGGACGUCUAAAGAUGUUUGCUUUUACUCGGCGGGACGCCACCGUUAUCGGCACAAAUUGUAUAAUUGCAAAUGACGAUUAUGCUCCGGUUGCAGUUGCAGCGUAAGCAGUAACGAAUACCGAAACUUAACUCCAAUCUGUUUGCACAGAUUGGCGGGGUUUGUAGGCAC